rnacentral:rRNA from 1 species
UACGUAGGGUGCAAGCGUUGUCCGGAAUUAUUGGGCGUAAAGAGCUCGUAGGCGGUUCGUCGCGUCGGCUGUGAAAUCCCGAGGCUCAACCUCGGGUCUGCAGUCGAUACGGGCGGACUGGAGUUCGGCAGGGGAGACUGGAAUUCCUGGUGUAGCGGUGAAAUGCGCAGAUAUCAGGAGGAACACCGGUGGCGAAGGCGGUUCUCUGGGCAUGAUCUGACGCUGAGGAGCGAAAGUGUGGGGAGCGAACAGG